rnacentral:rRNA from 1 species
GCGAGAAGUUGACCGCCUGGGGAGUACGGCCGCAAGGUUAAAACUCAAAGGAAUUGACGGGGACCCGCACAAGCGGUGGAUGAUGUGGAUUAAUUCGAUGCAACGCGAAAAACCUUACCUGGUCUUGACAUGUAACGAACGCCGCAGAGAUGUGGUGGUGCCCGAAAGGGAGCGUUAACACAGGUGCUGCAUGGCUGUCGUCAGCUCGUGUCGUGAGAUGUUGGGUUAAGUCCCGCAACGAGCGCAACCCUUGCCAUUAGUUGCCAUCAUUAAGUUGGGCACUCUAAUGGGACUGCCGGUGACAAACCGGAGGAAGGUGGGGAUGACGUCAAGUCCUCAUGGCCCUUAUGACCAGGGCUUCACACGUCAUACAAUGGUCGGUACAGAGGGUCGCGAAGCCGCGAGGUGGAGCCAAUCUCAUAAAACCGAUCGUAGUCCGGAUCGCACUCUGCAACUCGAGUGCGUGAAGUCGGAAUCGCUAGUAAUCGCAGAUCAGCAUGCUGCGGUGA